CAGAAUCUCGUGCAAGUCGAGCUCUAAACAAUCACGUGCAAUGUAAAACCACGUGAUUUAAACUGCCAUUACAGCAAAUGAAUUGCGACAAGGAGAUGUCUUGACGUCUCAUCGAGCUGCGACGACUCUGUUCCAGGCCGGAGUGGAUUUUGAAGCAAACUGGUCAUCUGAUAACAGUUAAUUGGGAACAAAUGAAGAUGGUCAGCAGCAUUCUCACCAGUAAGAAGCCCAAAACCGAGGAAGUACGAUGAAAAACGGAACACAAGGCUCCAGAAGAUGAUUCAAGUGACCCUGAGGAGAAUGGAAAAGGGGAAGGCGGUCCCGCCGGCUCCAAUUUAUUAACUGCAGUGUGCCGAUAUUGUAAAAAAAUCAUUUUGAAUGGUUCUGUAUUUGUUCAUUUAUAGAAGAUGUUUCCAACAAAAACAUUGAGGUAGAGGCAUAGGUUUGUCAGACCCGAUCUGCCAAGGGAAAAGUUCUUCUCGAGGUGCGAUACCGGGAAUAAGGUGAGACGAAGCCGAGCCUUGUUCCCGGUAUCGCACCGAGAGUUGGUCAGAUAACCGCCCUUGGGGGGUUAUAUGGUAAAACCAACCCCUUGAGAGGUCGUUCACAAAAAUUAAUAACCCCAGAUAUUGACCCGAUAAUCAACCCACAUGGUAUAUCUAUGUAUAACCAGGUUGCCUGGGUAGCAGGUAACUAUAUAUAACCAGGCUGCCUGGGUAGCAGGUAACUAUAUAUAACCAGUGUUCCUGGGCAGCAGGUAACUUUACUGAACAGCAAAAGAAACUUAAGUUUCGAAAAAAUGAAAUUUCAUGAAGGUAAGCGUUCAUGUUUGUGGAACGUUCAUGGUAAAGUGACGUCAUGA